rnacentral:rRNA from 1 species
UACGUAGGGUGCAAGCGUUGUCCGGAAUUAUUGGGCGUAAAGAGCUCGUAGGCGGUUUGUCGCGUCUGCUGUGAAAACUCAGGGCUUAACCCUGAGCCUGCAGUGGGUACGGGCAGACUAGAGUGUGGUAGGGGAGAUCGGAAUUCCUGGUGUAGCGGUGGAAUGCGCAGAUAUCAGGAGGAACACCAAUGGCGAAGGCAGCACUCUGGGACGUGACUGACGCUGAGACGCGAAAGCGUGGGGAGCAAACAGG